rnacentral:rRNA from 1 species
CCUACGGGAGGCAGCAGUGAGGAAUAUUGGUCAAUGGGCGUAAGCCUGAACCAGCCAAGUCGCGUGAGGGAUGAAGGUUCUAUGGAUCGUAAACCUCUUUUAUAAGGGAAUAAAGUGCGGGACGUGUCCAGUUUUGUAUGUACCUUAUGAAUAAGGAUCGGCUAACUACGUGCCAGCAGCCGCGGUAAUACGGAGGAUCCGAGCGUUAUCCGGAAUUAUUGGGUUUAAGGGGUGCGUAGGCGGCCUUUUAAGUCAGCGGUGAAAGUCUGUGGCUCAACCAUAGAAUGGCCGUUGAAACUGGUGGGCUUGAGUAUGUUUGGGGCAGGCGGAAUGCGUGGUGUAGCGGUGAAAUGCUUAGAUAUCACUCAGAACCCCGAUUGCGAAGGCAGCCUGCCAAGCCAUGACUGACGCUGAUGCACGAAAGCGUGGGGAUCAAACAGGAUUAGAUACCCGAGUAGUC